rnacentral:rRNA from 1 species
UACGGGGGGGGCAAGCGUUGUUCGGAAUUACUGGGCGUAAAGGGCUCGUAGGCGGCCAACUAAGUCAGAUGUGAAAUCCCUCGGCUUAACCGGGGAACUGCGUCUGAUACUGGAUGGCUUGAAUCCGGGAGAGGGAUGCGGAAUUCCAGGUGUAGCGGUGAGAUGCGUAGAUAUCUGGAGGAACACCGGUGGCGAAGGCGGCAUCCUGGACCGGCAUUGACGCUGAGGAGCGAAAGCCAGGGGAGCAAACGGG